rnacentral:lncRNA from 1 species
UGAAGAAGAGUCAAAAGUAAAAGAUUUGAGUUUAAGAGGGGAGUCACUACAACAAAAAUGGUCUAUAGCGACACUUUUAAAUGUAGGUACAUGUCAAAAAAGUGCUGCUAGCUAAAAUUACCGACACUUUUAAAAAGUGUUGCUAUAUGUGGGGUCGCUAGGUAUAUAGUGACAGUUAAAGAGUGUCACUAUAACCUAAAAAAGUGUUGCUAAUUUACCAAAACUUAUUUAAGCAUUUAACAACCGCCGAAACUCUAUCUCGUUGGCUGCGGUGGCGGAGGAGGACGACAGGAAAGGCUCUUCGUCUAGAAUUUCAGUGAAUUCAGUGAAGAGAGAAGAAAAGAUGGUAAUUGAUUUUUCUUUUUCUUUUUUUUCUUUUCAGUUUGUAAUCGGGCCAAAUGGACUGGGUGUGGUAGGUUGAAUAGAGUAAUCUUUUAUUUUUAGUUGUAUUGGGCUUUAUAUUUAGGCAUUAGUAGAUAUUUUUUUAAGUUUUAGCAUAAAUGGAACACUUACUCAAAAGUAUCCCAAACAUGUGUCCCUAUAACCUAAUUCUGUUGUAGUGAGUUCUCAUGUAAAAAAGGAAAAAUAUUAUGAGUUCAUAUAUGAAUAGUUCUAUAUCGGAUAAUUAUACUAGUUGGCCUACAUCUUAUAGCUAGGCUUAUGCUUUUAGAUUGAUUGAGUUACCGAUUAGAUUUGGUUCGAGAACCGCUUUAUUCUUUUCUUUAUCUUUGUUUUUUUUUUUGAGAAAAACGAAAAUCCACAUUGUUGAUCAGUUUAGUUUUAUUUUGAUUUUUUCAUAUUCGAUUUGGAUCAGUCGAGUCUACUUUUAAUUUUUCUUGUUAGCUGAACCAAACUGAAACCAAACCAAAGAUGAGGCAGAGAUGGGCUGUUUGUGAGCACGAUGGAGGUGGAUUAUCUCGUUUAGAAAGGAAUGGGAUUUACGGAAGUUAGGGCAUGUUUGUUUCAUAAUUGAAAUACAAUUAAAUUGCAUUAGAAUGAAAAAUGAAAUGAUGAAUUAUUAAAAAAAAUUGAUUUAUUAUUGGAUAAAAAUCAUAAUGGACAUUUAUGAAUUUGAGAGAGGGCUUUGGUUAAGAGACAAAACAGUGAUCAAGGGAGAGGAGAGAGAAGAUUUUGUAUGGUUUAUUUUGAAAUCUUCGAAACCAAAAUUCAGAACCGGAUUGGAUCAUAAAUAAAUUAGGCCAUUCUAUUACAGAAUGGACUGAGAAUCGAAAUCUAAUUCUUAUAAAAUAAACAAUAACUAUCAAAAUUUAUAAAUCUCAUUCUGAUUUUAUAACCUAAAAUAAGUGAAUUAAACAAACCCUUACUAUACUUGUAAAACCUUCAAAUCUAAUAUCUUAUUACUAAACUACUUGUGACUUUAUUUUUUGUAAAUAUUAAUCGUACAUCUCUUAUAGGGGUGUAAAUUUUAUACCUCUGAAACCUAAGAUUGAUAAAUUUUUUUAAAAAAAAAUUAGAAAAAAAAGAAGAUAUUAGAUUUGAAGGUUUUANUGCGUCGAACUCGAAAUCCGUUUCCACCCCUAGUUGGUUGUAACUCUUAUAUGUCCUUCUAAUAUAUAAAUCACAUAUAAGUUUAAUAUUUUAUUAAUUUUUAUUUUAUUUUAUUUUUUGUGAGCUAGUUGCCAGCGUAUACUAUUCUAAUAAGAAAAAUAUUUUGCCUGCAUAUAAAAUUGUUACAACUUUUUUUUCUUUUACACAUGCAUGGCAUGAUAAUUAGGGUGCGUUUGAUUCGCGGUAUCUUUUAAAGAUUUCUAUUAAUCCAAUGGGAAUAAAAAAAAUAUAACGGUGUUUGGCUAAAUGCACUAAGUAAUCUAGUUGGUAAUAUUGGAUUCACUUGGGAAUAAGAUUCACCCCAAAGUACUAAUCUCAUUCUCUUGAGAGAGGGUAGGUAUUCUCAUAUUAAUGGAUUAGGGUAAUCACAAUAUGUCUAAUCUCUUUGUUUCUUCCUACCCACAGGCUAAUUGAUAUUAUUUUUUUUUACACUCUAACCUUAUAUCUCUCUCUAACUUAUUUUUCUCCCUAAAAUUUAACUUUUUUUUCUCUCUCUAAACUAAGCUUUCUCUCUCUCUCUCUUUCUAAAAUUUCAACUCUCUCACUCCCUCUAAUUUCGACUAUAUUGUUCUUUCUAUUUUUUUAAUUAUGCUCUCUCUCUCUCUCUAACUUAUACUCUCUCUCCCUUUUUUCUAAAAAGAUAUUAAAACUUUUGGUAACAUUAUCUAAAAUUAAUUAAAUAAAUAAAUUAAUUAAUUGUAUAUUUUUUGUAAUAUUAAAUAAUAUGGCUAAUUAAUAUUACAGUGCGAACCAAACACAGGAAUUUCACAUUCUUAGUAAUAGGAUAAAUAGGAAUAAGAUUCUCGGAUAUUUUUUAUUCCUAGUAAUCUUUCAUAAUGCGAACCAAACGCACCCUUAAUGUUAUAUUAGUUCUUUCUGUUUACUGUAAUUACGAUUCUAUUCAUAAAAUAAUUAUGAAAGUCCGAAUACCCUAUAAUUAAAUAUUUUCUGUAUAUUAAAAAUAUAAAAUAAUAAUUAAAUAUUUAUGAUAUUAUGCUAACGUUAUUGAUAAUCAAUGAUUCUUAACCUAAUAAUAUAUCUAUAUGGUUGUUGAUUCCGGAUUUUAAAAGAUUUUUUUUUAUGAAAAUAUAAAGUAAUUCGGUUUUGAAUUUGAAAUUUUAAAUACCAAUCAUUAAGCCCUUAGCGAACUGUACUUAGGGGCCGUUUGAUUGGAUGUAGUUACAAAAACAGUGUAGUUGAAAGUGCAUGUAGUUGUAAAUGCUGCAGUCAUAACUAUAUCUAGUCUGUUUGGUUAUAUCCAGUUACAACUGCUGCAAUUAUAUUUUUUCUGUUAGGUAAUUUGCAGUUGAGAUUUGUAUUUAUAAAUUCUGUCAAUUUUUAGAUAGAAAUGUGAGAUUACCUCUUCGGAGCAUAACGUAAUCAUGUUUUAAUUAUUAAUUAAGACUUUUAUAUUUAUAUAUAAAUUAUAUAUUAUAAAAUUAUGUAUGAAUUUAAUAAAUUUUAAAUAUAAAUAUAUUAUACAUUUGGUCAAAAUAAAAUUAAGAUAUUAUUAAACUAGCAGACUAAAAUAAGAAGCGUAUGAUAAAAGAAAAUACUGACUCUAACAAACAUUACUAAAUCCUAUCAGAUUUUAUGAAUAUGUAUUUUUGAAAAAAAAUAAAAACAGAAGCGUAUGAAAAAAAAAAUCACACUUUGUUUAUAUUUUUAAUAGGUAAGCCGACUCC